rnacentral:rRNA from 1 species
CCUGGCGGCACUAGCGCGGUGAUCCCACCUGACCCCAUGCCGAACGCAGAAGUGAAACGCCGUAGCGCCGAUGGUAGUGUGGGGUCUCCCCAUGCGAGAGUAGGGAACUGCCAGGC